CCUACGGGUGGCUGCAGUGGGGAAUAUUGGACAAUGGGGGGAACCCUGAUCCAGCCAUGCCGCGUGUGUGAAGAAGGCCCUCGGGUUGUAAAGCACUUUCAGUGAGGAAGAACGCCUGGUGGUUAAUACCCAUCAGGAAAGACAUCACUCACAGAAGAAGCACCGGCUAACUCCGUGCCAGCAGCCGCGGUAAUACGGAGGGUGCGAGCGUUAAUCGGAAUUACUGGGCGUAAAGCGCGCGUAGGUGGCUUGAUAAGCCGGUUGUGAAAGCCCCGGGCUCAACCUGGGAACGGCAUCCGGAACUGUCAAGCUAGAGUGCAGGAGAGGAAGGUAGAAUUCCCGGUGUAGCGGUGAAAUGCGUAGAGAUCGGGAGGAAUACCAGUGGCGAAGGCGGCCUUCUGGACUGACACUGACACUUAGGUGCGAAAGCGUGGGUAGCAAACAGGAUUAGAUACCCUUGUAGUC
rnacentral:rRNA from 1 species